rnacentral:rRNA from 1 species
GACGAACGCUGGCGGCGUGCUUAACACAUGCAAGUCGAACGGAAAGGCCCUGCUUUUGUGGGGUGCUCGAGUGGCGAACGGGUGAGUAACACGUGAGUAACCUGCCCUUGACUUUGGGAUAACUUCAGGAAACUGGGGCUAAUACCGGAUAGGAGCUCCUGCUGCAUGGUGGGGGUUGGAAAGUUUCGGCGGUCGGGGAUGGACUCGCGGCUUAUCAGCUUGUUGGUGGGGUAGUGGCUUACCAAGGCUUUGACGGGUAGCCGGCCUGAGAGGGUGACCGGCCACAUUGGGACUGAGAUACGGCCCAGACUCCUACGGGAGGCAGCAGUGGGGAAUAUUGCACAAUGGGCGGAAGCCUGAUGCAGCAACGCCGCGUGCGGGAUGACGGCCUUCGGGUUGUAAUCCGCUUUCGCCUGUGACGAAGCGUGAGUGACGGUAAUGGGUAAAGAAGCACCGGCUAACUACGUG